UCUCCGUAGGUGAACCUGCGGAAGGAUCAUUAUUGUAUAACCGAACUGCGAGUGCUGUCGCUGCCCCGAAUGGACGUGCACGCCCGAGUUCCCUCCCACACAUCCAUCUCACCCCUCUGUGCACCACCCCCUGGGUCGCCCUUUGGCUCUUUCGGAGGGGGGGCUACGCUUUCACACUAUCCUUGCUUACAGUGAAGUAUGUAUUUUUUGUUUUUGGGAUCACGCAUCCAAUACAAAUUUCAACAACGGAUCGCUUGGCCGUCGCAUCGCUGAACAACG
rnacentral:misc_RNA from 1 species